GCUAGUUGUACCUGUGGCUAGCUGAGGUUAGCUGUGGCUAGCUGUGAGGGGGCUAGUUGUACCUGUGGCUAGCUGUGAGGGGGCUAGUUGUACCUGUGGCUAGCUGUGAGGAGGCUAGUUGUACCUGUGGCUAGCUAAGGUUAGCUGUGGCUAGCUGUGAGGGGGCUAGUUGUACCUGUGGCUAGCUAAGGUUAGCUGUGGCUAGCUGUGAGGGGGCUAGUUGUACCUGUGGCUAGCUGUGAGGGGGCUAGUUGUACCUGUGGCUAGCUAAGGUUAGCUGUGGCUAGCUGUGAGGGGGCUAGUUGUACCUGUGGCGCCCAGGGGGUGUCCCUUGGAGAUGAGGCCGCCGCUGGGGUUCACCACAUACUUCCCCCCGUAGGUGUUGUCCCCCC